rnacentral:rRNA from 1 species
UGGGGAAUAUUGCACAAUGGGCGCAAGCCUGAUGCAGCCAUGCCGCGUGUAUGAAGAAGGCCUUCGGGUUGUAAAGUACUUUCAGUCGGGAGGAAGGUGGUAAGGUUAAUAACCUUAUCAAUUGACGUUACCGACAGAAGAAGCACCGGCUAACUCCGUGCCAGCAGCCGCGGUAAUACGGAGGGUGCAAGCGUUAAUCGGAAUUACUGGGCGUAAAGCGCACGCAGGCGGUUUGUUAAGUCAGAUGUGAAAUCCCCGGGCUCAACCUGGGAACUGCAUCUGAUACUGGCAAGCAUGAGUCUCGUAGAGGGGGGUAGAAUUCCAGGUGUAGCGGUGAAAUGCGUAGAGAUCUGGAGGAAUACCGGUGGCGAAGGCGGCCCCCUGGACGAAGACUGACGCUCAGGUGCGAAAGCGUGGGGAGCAAACAGG